GUGGAGGAAAAAAAGAGGAAACCAGAUGAAUGAUGAUGAAUGAAUUUUGAGAGAAAAAUCAGGGAGAAGGAAAGCGAUGUGUUGACAGCGUGGAGAAAUUGAAUUAGCAGCUGCAGCGCCGGGAACAUUGAAUCACAUUAGGAGCGCAGCAGAGGAGCAGAGGCUACCUGCAGGCCUCCUCUGCUCUCAUGCACAUGACGACACCAAACCCAACACAGCAGAAGUCUACUAUAUAAAGCCAGACAUAAUCAUAUGCACAAAAUAUUCAUAACUUCCCAUCAAGACGAUGAAAAAAGUCUUAGUUUCGAUUUCAUUAAAUAGUCUAAAUCGUCGUAUUUAUUUGUUAUUUUGAUGCUUGUAAAAACUUCACUAAAAUCAAUAUAAUAAUUGUCAUUUAAAAUAUUCAGACUUGAAAUUAUUUAAAGUAUGAUGCAAAUGAUCAGUUUCAACAAGUGGUAGUUAUGUCGCGUUUAAAGAUGACUGACAUCGAGAUGAUUUUUUUUUUAAAGUUUUAAUUGUUUGCAGCUUCAAAAAAUCAUUAAAACAAAAUGACGUCAUGUAAUGUCGCACUUGGUCUGUAAAUGAUUUGAAUAUAGAGUCGACUGGAGUCCGACUUCAUCUAAAGACAAUAACCUUAAAACAGUCAACCGUCAUAUUUAUCAGAUUAUGUUGCAAACUCUAUGAAUUAAUGCAGGCUAAUUAAAACGAACGUCAGCCUUAAAAUAAACGGAGUUGUAUCCUCAUUUCCUCUUCUGUACAGAUCAGUAUUUUAUGAACUGCAUUGUAAAACCACAUAAACCCAAAACAACUCAGACAAAAGCUGACACUAGUAAGUGUUUCUUGACGGAUAAAUAUGGCGCACGAAAUAGAAGCUGAUCCAGAAAAAUCCUGCUCAUGUUCCUGAUUCACAUCUAAUCUCCAUCCAACCUGACAGCAGCACACUGAGCUCAGAACGGUGAGCACAUCUCCAGCUUUGUCCCGGACACAUGUUGCACUGCGCAGGUUUGCAGACACCUUAUGGCGGGCUUUAGUCGUGAUAAAGCUGUCGUUGCUGUGCCAGUCGCUCCGAGAGGAGCUGCAAGGGCCCUGGAGGGGCCUGUAGGGGCCUAUAAAGGGUCGAGUGUAAAGGAAAAUGUGCAACAGUUAAAUUUUAGCAUCAUUUCUUCUGGCAGAAAUGAUCCUGAUUCUUGAAUAAAUCUAAGAAAUAAACAGAAAAUCAGCUUUUAGAUGGAUGGGCAAUUCAACAAUAAUUCAAAAGUCUUCUUUUACAGAUACAGUUUGAUCUACCUGUAGUGUAACAGUCAUUUUUCACAGCAGACAUUUUGACUGUGUUACUAAUAACAGUAACAAUAGCUCUGUUCUAUUCAAGUGUCCCAGUAAGCCGUCACAGUGUAACAACAUGCACAACACCAGGACCCUGAAACUGAGGCAGCUAAAUGGAAUUCAGCUCUCAUUCAUUUUAUUCUUUACACCUGUACAAUCAACUCAUUAUUGAAACAGAAGAAUAGUCCCUACAACACAGCAUGUUGAAUUAGUGAUGGAUUAUCAUUAUUCAUGUUGUUCUAUCAGAAACAUUUAAUAAUAUUUAAUUGUAUCAUAUGGAACCUGGUGAGUACUUUCUUCUCACUUCUCAGAAUAUCACCUUAUUUUCCAUGAAGACAUUUUAAUAUUAAAUAUUGAAAUCUUUCCAGAGACUGAAUCCGAUCAAAUGGUGAUGUAUUUGAGGUCCAGGCCAUGAAAACCUCCUGCUUCCACAAAGAAGUGACUUUUAUGACUCUCUGUGAAGACAGAGCGAUGGAGGAACAUGCAGGCACUGUCCAAGGUAAGAGUCACUCUCAGAGUUACUCAGAGUGACUGGUUUACACUGGAAUAUAAAGUGAUGAGUCCGUUCUGAUCAUUGGCUCUUUCCCACGUUAACACUUCAGCUGCUUGUCUCUCAUGUUCUUUCUUUUGUGAUUUUCACAACCAAAAUGACUGAUUUUGGACUGAUCGUUUCCAGUAAUACAAAGAAUUUAAAUUAUAUAUUUUUUUCACCUAUUUACAAAAAUUAGGAAACAAUAUACAAAAAACAAAUGCUAAUCUCCAUAGAGAUUAACAAAAAAGCAAAAAUUUUUAACAUCAACUCAUCAACUUUCAGAAUCAAACAGAUUUUUUCUUGUGACAAAUCUCCUUUAAAACUGUUUUCUUAUUGUGAAUGAGUGUAAAUACACGGAAAUCUACAUUUGUUAGUAAUUAUAAUUACAUGUCAGUGAACACAACUGAUUUUCCUUUUCAACUUAACUUUCCAUAUUGUGCAGUCUAACAUUACAUAUGCACCAAAAUGCCAAGUUAUAUGAUAAAACUGCAAUUUGUUUGUUCACUCUAACAAAAAAGGUUUGAUAUUUAGAAUUUAAAUUCCACAAUUUCCUAAAAAUAAAAAAGGUUCGUAGCCUGAUCUAUAUGGUAAAUUAUUCUAGAAUUGUACAUGUCAGUAGUAAUAAAGAAUGAUGAGGUGAGAUAUGAAAAUUAUAGCAUUGUUUUGAACUUCUUCUCCAGUCUCAACAGCAGGGGAGCAUGGUUUAUCAUGACAUAGCAGCAAUUUGCUGAAAAAACCAUAUGCUAGAAAUCUCCAAAGUGAUGUCACCUGCUUAUUUGCAUUUGGAUGUACUUACCUCAGUGCUCCUGGUCAUGUUGUGAAUGGGUGCACAACACACAGUUUGGAUAAGAAAAGCAAGCAGCACAAUUAUACGCAUCAACAUCAACAGUGUUGUUAGUGUAACAAACGAGCAUAUAGUAUUCCCUCAGGUCCAACAGCAUGAUGAGAUCUUUCUGCUUGUUGCUUUUUAGAGAUGAAGUCAGCAGGAGGUCUGAAAAUCUGGUAAAGUCACUAAAUUGGAAAUAAUGGAGGAAAGAAAAGCUCAAAAUAAUUACAAAACAACCUAGUCGCACUAGCUAUGUUGAGUGAAUGAUGGCUCACUUUUUUCACCGUGCAGCCCUCAUGAACCACAGUGUUUUCAAUGAAUGGACCAGUCUUCUUACUUUACCCUUCAGGCUGCUGACCUGCUGUCACCCAACAUACUGUUAACAUGGGGCCAAUGAUCAUUAAGCUGCUAGCAUCACAGUGUAUGGAUAAGUCCAACCUUUUUAAUCAUUUCUGCUUGCUAACCAAGCUAAUGCUAAUAUUUUAUCACACUUCACCAAUUUGACUCAAAUUCAAGUGCAUCAGUUUGUCCUGAGAUGAUUAUGAAGUGCUGUGUUUGCCGUCAUGUUCAUGUGAUGUCUCUUAAACUGCCUCUCUUGCUUCAAUCUACUUGGACUCAACAUCCAGUGACAUCCACUGCACUUUUACAAGCAGGAGAAUAGACAUAAAAACUUCUGUUUUAAAAUUUGCUGCAUUUACAUUGAAGGCAGCUGAAGCUCUCAUCCAGAGAGAGUUGAAUGGAUAAGCAGGGAUUUACGGUUUGUUUCGGUUAUUGUAACAGGACACAUGACUUUCUGAGUUCACUGUGUUACUGCUAGAACACACUGCGGCUCAGUUGUUCAGUAUUUUAGAAUUUAUUCCCAAAAUGAACAGUGUCCUGAUUAAACAUGCAAAUUCAUUUUAAACUGAUGUGAUGUGUGUCAGAUUGAAGGUUUUGAGUGUGUGUAUCCUCAUUAGAUACAAACCAUAUUGUUAAUUAGCACAGAUAUUAAACACUGUAAAAAGUUUGUAAAAACAUGUUGGAAAAAAAAUAAAAAGGUUUUAAA